AUGAUGUCACGAAGACGCUGGAGGUGUUUGCUGAUAUUCUUGCCGGAGACCCUGGCCUCACCUGGUGGUCAAGAACAGUGGGGUGUUAGCUGUAAAUCUGUAGAAGAUGGUGAACAGGAUGACAUAAAUUGUGAUGAACUAGAGAAUGAAAGCCAGGAAGCUGCAGAAAUGGAGACUCGGGAUCAAAACGAUACUGAGCAGGGGGACAUAGCAGUUGCAGAGUGGCUUGAUAGGUUUAGAGGGAUUUUUUAUCCGUGUUUUGUGGAAGAGCUUUGUAGGGAUGAUGCUGAAACUGACUGGAAUUACAUCAGCACUAUGAUGAAUUCAGAAGUGAUGGGCUAUAGGAUUGACUGGCCGAAGAAGUUCAUGUUCCCGGUGAAUUUCAUGGAUUGUUAG
rnacentral:rRNA from 1 species